GGUUAGAUUUUUUGGUAUAAAAUGCUACUGAAAAUAGUCAAUAAUCGUAAAGAUAUAUUUAUCAUAAUUUUGUUUAUUAGCUUUACUUUGUCACAGCGAAAUUAUCAUUUUAACUGAAAAAAAUCUUCGUAGGUAACUGCAGCUACUGAAACGGUCAUUGGUUUUGAGAGAUUAUAUGAAUUUAUCCUUGUAAGAGCAGAAAAUAAAGCGAUAAUGCCUCGCUUUAACAGCAAAAAGAUACUCGUUCAAUUGAAGCAUUCAUUUUUAGUACCUCUAUUCAAAUAAAUUAUGAAGAUGGAAAAAUAAGUUUUAA